rnacentral:lncRNA from 1 species
CGGAGUCUCGUUCACUCAGUGCUCAAUGGUGCCCAGGCUGGAGUGCAGUGGCGUGAUCUCGGCUCGCUACAACCUACACCUCCCAGCCGCCUGCCUUGGCCUCCCUAAGUGCCGAGAUUGCAGCCUCUGCCCGGCCGCCACCCCAUCUGGGAAGUGAGGAGUGUCUCUGCCUGGCCGCCCAUCGUCUGGGAUGUGAGGAGCCCCUCUGCCUGGCUGCCCAGUCUGGAAAGUGAGGAGCGUCUCCGCCCGGCCGCCAUCCCAUCUAGGAAGUGAGGAGCGCCUCUUCCCAGCCGCCAUCACAUCUAGGAAGUGAGGAGAGUCUCUGCCCGGCCGCCCAUCGUCUGAGAUGUGGGGAGCGCCUCUGCCCCGCCGCCCCAUCUGGGAUGUGAGAGCGCCUCUGCCCGGCCGAGACCCCGUCUGGGAGACAGAAUCUUGCCGCAUGACCCAGGCUAGAAUGCAGUGGUGUGAUCUCGGCCCUCUGCAACCUCCACCUCCCAGGUUCAAGCGAUUCUCAUGCCUCGGUCUCCCAAGUAGCUGGGAUUACAGGCAUGCACCACCAUGCCCAGCUAAUUUUUGUAUUUUUCGUAGAGACGUUCGCCAUAUUGGCCAGGCUGGUCUCAAACUCCUGGCCUCAAGUGAUCUGCCCACCUCGGCCUCCCAAAGUGCCAGCAGCAUGCUCGGAGGAGUGACUUUAAAGCUUUUCUACUUGCUUCCUAGAGUAAGGGACGCAUUUUACACUGCUAUCCAAAACUCAUCAUAGAAACAUACACACACAAAACCAAAGCACACAUAUACAACUGAGCAAAUAUUUCAUGACAUAACACUUUCUCUUACUAAGGGUGACG